CAGGAGGAGCGAGGCGUUCUAGUACUAGUACCGCCGGUACAGCAGCUUCUCCGGCCAGGAAUCGGCCACAUCCGUUGGUGCUACCUUGGGAGGGGCAGCAGUUUUCAGGAAGGGACAAGUCAAGAGGCAUUGGAGCUGUACAAGGACAUCGGAGUCUUGGCUGUAAUUUGGAGUUCUACAAGGGCACCGGACGCUUGGCUGUAAUUUCGCUAUCAGUUACUUGUUAUCUUUAAGAUCUCAUGAUAAGUGUGCGUAAGAGUAUGUGGUAAGACUGCUGUUGGGCAAGCCAUGGCGGUGAGUUCACCACGCCACAACCGCGGUGGUGGUGCUAUCUCGGUUUCGCUACAAUUCUCUCAUGUGAGUAGGACACGAGGAAUCUGGAACACCUGGAGCGGUGGCCUUCUUCGACUCCAUGUUGUGUCUAGGUAGAUUCUGUAUGUGGUGUGGCUGCUCAGUAGACCGUGACGGCAAGUUCACCGUGCCACAACUACGGUGUUGGUGCCAUCUCGGCUGCUCCGAAAAUUCUAUCAGUUGUUGCGUCCGAAGCUGAGCUGCUUGAGGCGGCCAUGGGAGCUGGUUUGAAGCUGAAGUUGACCCUGCUGAUGGCGUUGAUGUGUUUAUGUGUUGUGAGUACUAUUUCAGCUAUUGUAAUACAAUUCAGUAUUCAAGUUGUAGCCAUGGGAAGCUGUAACAAAUUGUUUCCUUUGCACGUUGGUGAUCUUGAUGAUUUGAACUUGCCUUGCUGGGAAAUGAAACUUGUGUAGUUACGUGACCUGGU